rnacentral:rRNA from 1 species
CCCUUAGAUGUCCUGGGCCGCACGCGCGCUACACUGAGUGUCUGAGAUACGAGUCUGCCUAGCCGGCGAGGUCUAGGUAAUCGCUGAAAGACGCAUCAUGCUUGGGAUAGAUUAUUGCAGAUAUUAAUCUUGAACGAGGAAUUCCUAGUAAGCGCAAGUCAACAGCUUGCGUUGAUUACGUCCCUGCCCUUUGUACACACCGCCCGUCGCUACUACUGAUUGGAUGUUAAAGCGAGGUUCUCGAACUGCUAGCGACUUAGCUUCGGUGAGGUCGCCGUGUGGGAAGUGAACCUAGCUUUGGUGUCUAGAGGAAGUAAAAGUCGUAUCA